rnacentral:rRNA from 1 species
AUGGAGGCGAUAAAUACCGAUUGCAGCGACAGUUCCCGCAGCCAACAACUGAAGGACGAAGAUAGGCUCAGCAUGCUGACUGAUGAUAUUUUACUGUCCAUCUUGGGGAGAGUCAGCUCAUGUAUGGCUGCAAGGACAAGUGUGCUCUCUACACGGUGGAAGCAUCUGCCUUGGUUGCUGCCUGAGCUCAGCAUCGAUGUGAAGGAUUUCCUAUCCGCUCCGUGCGCUGACCCUAUUGAGGAAAAUGAUAUGGAACAAGCUAUGAAGUCUUUGACCAAAGCAACCAGGAGUUUGUUGGAUAAACAACAGAGAGAAUCCACUAUCUCAAGUUUGCACCUUGAGCUCUAUCUGUUCAACGCUUUCCUUUGUGAGGUUGGCCCACUGAUAGGUGAUGCAAUCGACAGUGGUUUGUUGAAAGAUUUGGAUCUCACCAUUCUUGAUGAGACAGAGCCUCUUGACCAUAGUGAGGAAGAGAUGCAACAGCGAGCUCAAGACAUCGAUGCUUUUUUCACUGCCUACCCUAGUGUGCUCCACUGCCUCACAAAGCUCUCUCUAAAAAAUGUAGGCUUUGACAAAUUGGACAUGCACCAUGUUCUGUUUGACUGCUGCAAGCAACUGAAGCAUCUAACCCUUCAUCAUUGUGAUACUGGUUCCUACUCUCUCUUUAAGAUUGAUGCACCACACUCAAAACUCUGUGUUCUAGAAAUCGGAAAGUGUCGCUUUCUGAGAAUCGACCUUGUCUGCCUCCCUAAUCUGGAGAAGUUGGUUUGCGAUACUUGGGUAUCUCAGUGUGCCCCGUUGACCUUUGGUUUUGUCCCUUCUCUUGGGGAAUUAGAACUCUCAUGUGGUUCAGAUUGUGAGCAACGCGGAUUUAAAUUAAGUGAGCUUCUACAUGGAGUAACAAGCAUACAUAGUCUCACAUUGGAUUUCCAAGGAGAAACCCUUUGGUUGCAUCCUGAAAUGGAGGAUCUCCGCACCGCAUUCAGCAAGCUAAGGAAGCUGUCUGUACUUGGUAUCUUUGUUGAAUUUGACAUUUUAUGGACAACGGCCUUUCUUGUAGCAGCACCAUCUAUUGAAAUGUUACAUAUUGAGGUAUGGGAACAUACAUGCGAUGUGGGUGAGGCCAGACCUGCUUCCUUCCAUGACAGAAGGAGCCCUCAGUGGGAAAUGCACUUGGAUAGCAGCUCCGAGAACAAGCUUCUGAAAGAGCUAGAAUUUGCUGGAUUUAAAUCGCUAGAACAACAGUUUACAUUUAUAAGAUCCAUGUUGGAGCGAUCUCCCAACUUGCAGAAGAUGGUACUGAAAGAUGAGGUGCAGUGCGAUGACUGCGAUGCCCUUGAGGUACCUCGCCCUUCUAGAUUUCCGAGGAAGAAAGAUGAGCAAGAAGUGGUCGUUAAGCGGAUUAUAGAUGGCAUUUUCUCGCCAGAGAUAAUUUUUCAUGAAUAA